AGUCACUGACAUUAGAUACCCCUGUAGUCCUGGCCGUAAACGCUGCGGGCUUGGCGUUGGGGGUCCUUAGUGGGCGCCCAGUGCCGGAGAGAAGUUGUUAAGCCUGCUGCUUGGGGAGUAUGUCCGCAAGGAUGAAACUUAAAGGAAUUGGGCGGGGGAGCACCGCAACGGGAGGAGCGUGCGGUUCAAUUGGAUUCAACGCCGAAAAACUCACCAGGAGCGACGGAUAUAUGAAGGUCAAGCUGAUGACUUUACCUGAUUUUCCG
rnacentral:rRNA from 1 species